rnacentral:rRNA from 1 species
AUCUCUGUAGAGUCUGCAUAUCAAUAAGCGGAGGAAAAGAAACUAACUAGGAUUCCCUCAGUAACGGCGAGUGAAGCGGGAAGAGCUCAAAUUUGAAAUCUUCAAGGUUCUACCUUGACGAAUUGUAGUUUAAAGAAGUGUUUUCUGUUGGUGUUUUGGUAAAAGUUCUUUGGAAUAGGACAUCAUAGAGGGUGAGAAUCCCGUAUUUGACCAUUAUUUCCAGCUUUGUGAUACACUUUCAAAGAGUCGGAUUGUUUGGGAAUGCAGUCCAAAAUGGGUGGUAAAUUUCAUCUAAAGCUAAAUAUUGGCGAGAGACCGAUAGCGAACAAGUACCGUGAGGGAAAGAUGAAAAGAACUUUGAAAAGAGAGUUAAACAGUACGUGAAAUUGUCAAAAGGGAAGCGUUUGACACCAGGUGUUGUUUUCUCGAAAAUCAAUUAAAAAAAGUUGGAUUUUGUGUUGUAUUGACCUAACAGCUUUCUGCACUCUUUUCCUGCUUUUUUUAAUGCACUUUUCGUUUAACAAGUCAACAUCAGUUUCUUUUGUUGUAAAAGGGUCAUUGGAAGGUGGCUUUCUUUUCGGAGAAAGUGUUUAUAGCCUUUGGCUUCUGCAAUCGGAGAGAUUGAGGUCUGCAGCGUAGAUCCUUCGGGGCUAGAUACGUAGAUGCUAAGUUAUAGUUUUUUAUAGACAACUUGUUGACUAUAAUUAAUCAUGUAGCUUACUCGUUUGCGCUAUUUUACCUACGCUUAGGAUGUUGAUAGUCACAGCGUGUAC